UACGGGGGGGCAAGCGGUUGUUCGGAAUUACUGGGCGUAAAGGGCUCGUAGGUGGCCAACUAAGUCAGACGUGAAAUCCCUCAGCUUAACUGGGGAACUGCGUCUGAUACUGGAUGGCUUGAGUUUGGGAGAGGGAUGCGGAAUUCCAGGUGUAGCGGUGAAAUGCGUAGAUAUCUGGAGGAACACCGGUGGCGAAGGCGGCAUCCUGGACCAAUACUGACACUGAGGAGCGAAAGCCAGGGGAGCAAACGGG
rnacentral:rRNA from 1 species